AUUUUAGUAAAAAAGCCAAGUUUUGGCAUUAGUUUUUUCUUUAUUAAAUUAAAAAGCAGUGCCUUCAAUUUAUCAAAAAUUGCUCACAAAUACUGUAUUUCUAUGUCUCUUAGCAGUUACGUAGCUCAGCCCUGUACUACCCUUCUGCUACACAAUUCUCAUGAGGAAAUAAUGGAAGGAGACAGCACACUGGAACCAGAGAAAGGGAACUAGAGAUCUAUACCUAGCCUUGCUCAUCAUGGGGAUAUUGCGCCUCAGAAAGACAAACUGAACCAUCAGGCAUGAAGUCCCUAUUCAGACUGAAGAAAAUAUUUUUCAGUAGAGAGAGAAGAGGAUCCAGAGCCUUUUUCUCUUUUUCCUUUGAAAGUUAUUUAAAAGCCCCAAAUAAAUUAGUUUGUUUCUUAAAAAUAAAAUAUUCUUGUUACACACAUUCUUGUGCUUUUGUCCCUGAGUUAUGUAUGCAGGGUGUAUGGGACAUGCGUCUGUUUGUGUACAGAUAUGUCUGUGCUGUGAAGUAUUGUGGGUUAUUCUCUGUGUCCUCCUUGGGAUUCUGUUUUAG
rnacentral:lncRNA from 1 species